CUUAAGCAUAUCAAUAAGCGGAGGAAAAGAAACCAACAGGGAUUGCCCUAGUAACGGCGAGUGAAGCGGCAACAGCUCAAAUUUGAAAUCUGGCGCAAGCCCGAGUUGUAAUUUGUAGAGGAUGCUUCUAGGUAGCGACCGGUCUAAGUUCCUUGGAACAGGACGUCAUAGAGGGUGAGAAUCCCGUAUGUGACCGGCCCGCACCUUCUACGUAGCUCCUUCGACGAGUCGAGUUGUUUGGGAAUGCAGCUCUAAAUGGGAGGUAAAUUUCUUCUAAAGCUAAAUACCGGCCAGAGACCGAUAGCGCACAAGUAGAGUGAUCGAAAGAUGAAAAGCACUUUGGAAAGAGAGUUAAAAAGCACGUGAAAUUGUUGAAAGGGAAGCGCUUACAACCAGACUUCUGGGCGGUGUUCCGCCGGUCUUUUGACCGGUCUACUCGCCGUCCCGAGGCCAACAUCAUCUGGGACCGCUGGAUAAGACCUCAGGAAUGUAGCUCCCCUCGGGGAGUGUUAUAGCCUGUGGUGAUGCAGCGCGUCUCGGGUGAGGUCCGCGCUUCGGCAAGGAUGUUGGCGUAAUGGUUGUCAGCGGCCCGUCUUGAAACACGGACCAAGGAGUCUAACAUCUAUGCGAGUGUUCGGGUGUCAAACCCCUACGCGUAAUGAAAGUGAACGGAGGUGGGAAGGGCAACCUGCACCAUCGACCGAUCCUGAUGUCCUCGGAUGGAUUUGAGUAAGAGCAUAGCUGUUGGGACCCGAAAGAUGGUGAACUAUGCCUGAAUAGGGUGAAGCCAGAGGAAACUCUGGUGGAGGCUCGCAGCGGUUCUGACGUGCAAAUCGAUCGUCAAAUUUGGGUAUAGGGGCGA
rnacentral:rRNA from 1 species